CUUCUUUUGAGAAGCAUCUGUUCAUAUACUUUGCCUGCUUUUUUGAUGGGAUUGUUUGCUUUUUUCUUGUAAAUUUGUUUAAGUUCUCUGUAGAUUCUGGAUAUUAUCCCUUUGUCAGAUGGAUAGAUUGCAAAAAUUUUCUCCCAUUUUGUAGGUUGCCUGUUCCCUUUGAUGAUAGUUUCUUUUGCUCUGCAGAAGCUCUUUAGUUUAAUUAGAUCCCAUUUGUCCAGAUGAGAUUAACCUUUGAAUUGGUAAACCAAGUAAAGCAGGUUGCCCUCUCUGUUUCUCUGGAGAACCCUGACCAAUACAGUAGACUUGAAACCUUCUUUUUUUUUUUUUUUUUAA
rnacentral:lncRNA from 10 species